rnacentral:rRNA from 1 species
GAUGAACGCUAGCGGCAGGCCUAAUACAUGCAAGUCGAACGGUGUCUUCGGACAUAGUGGCGCACGGGUGCGUAACACGUAUGCAACCUACCUUACAUUGGGGGAUAGCCUUUCGAAAGGGAGAUUAAUACCGCAUAAGACAGUAGCUGGGCAUCCAGCAGCUGUUAAAGAUUUAUCGAUGUAAGCUGGGCAUGCGUCCAAUUAGCUAGUUGGUGAGGUAACGGCUCACCAAGGCAAUGAUUGGUAGGGGAACUGAGAGGUCAAUCCCCCACACUGGCACUGAGAUACGGGCCAGACUCCUACGGGAGGCAGCAGUGGGGAAUUUUGGACAAUGGACGCAAGUCUGAUCCAGCCAUUCCGCGUGCAGGACGAAGGCCUUCGGGUUGUAAACUGCUUUUGUACAGAACGAAAAGGUUUCUAUUAAUACUAGGAGCUCAUGACGGUACUGUAAGAAUAAGCACCGGCUAACUUCUUACCG